AUUGAACGCUGGCGGCAGGCUUAACACAUGCAAGUCGAACGAGUGGCGGAGGGGCGAGUAAUUCUGUGGAAUCUAGCUUAUGGAGGGGGCUAACUACGGGAAACUGUAGCUAAUACCGCGUACCGUACGAUGAGCCCAAGGUGGAGUAGGUAGUUGGUGAGGUAAAGGCUCACCAAGCCGACGAUCUCUAGCUGGUCUGAGAGGAUUACCGGCCACACUGGGACUGAGACACGGCCCAGACUCCUACGGGAGGCAGCAGUGGGGAAUGUUGCGCAAUGGGGGAAACCUGACGCAGCCAUGCCGCGUGAAUGAAGAAGGCCUUCGGGUUGUAAAGUUCUGUCGGUAGCGAGGCGUUAACUACAGAAGAAGCACCGGCUAACUACGUGCCAGCAGCCGCGGUAAUAC
rnacentral:rRNA from 1 species